rnacentral:lncRNA from 1 species
CCCAACCCCAGACUGCAAGUAGCCACUCAUUCAUUCCACAAAUACUCUCUGAGGGCCUGUUCUAUGCAGGCUAUGUGCCAAGGGUUUACACCCUAGGAGCAGUGCCACCCCAGUAUCUGUCCCCCGUGACCAGUGACUGCCCCUCCUCUAUAAUAUCUAUUGACUGACCUCUCUGACCUCACCUCAUUUCUUUCCUCCAGUGCCCCGGCUCCAGCAGUCCAUGGAUCCUGCCCCCUUUGCAUGUCCCUCAGCCUGCCUGCCCUCCGUGUCCUUCCUGCCCAGCCUACAAUUCAUGGUCAGGCCCCACCCCCACCCCCUCCUGCGGUCCUGACAAAACCCCAACACUGGUCAGUCCCACUGCUCCACCUCCACCGCAUCUCACCUGCACUUGCGCAGCUCAAUGUCACACCACCUUGCCAGCUGCUUCCCUUUCAACUCAUGACACAAAACCCAAGAGGGCCCUUAGUGGAUGUCAGGAUCAGUCACUGUCCCCAUGACCCUUGCACCCCUCUUUUCUCCUCUCUAUAAAAUAAGGGUGAUAAUAUUUCUGUCUCCCGGGGCUGUUGGCAGCAUCAGUAGUAGGUCCUUGCUCGGGGGCAGCUACUGGGGUUAGUUCCUCUGGUGCUCAGUCCAAGAGUUCCCUGGUGUCUUGGUGUCCGCGGAGUCCCACCCUGCGGUCAUUUAUUUUGUUCCGCUGGUUGGGCAGGCCUGGGCUCUCUGCCAGAUCUGAUCAUCCUCCCAGAGACAGGAGGGAACGGAAUGUGGCACCAGGCAGUAAGACGCAUGGCUGAGCUCAGCAGGAGAGGGAAGCUUCCAACUUCCUGCAGCGAAUGUCCUAGGUGAUAGGUCAAGUCUGACCCCGCCAGUGAGGCCAACAUGGAAACUUACUAGGGCCUCGAAAAGGUGUGUGUGGGAGUUCAGAGAGGAGUGGAGACAGCCGGCCUCCCAAUCUGGACCCACAGGGCAGGGCAGGGAGAGGAGAUGGCCCCGCCUCCAGGAAUCCAGGCUGCACCUCCCUCCAGGGAACUCAGAUCAAAGCCAGGAGGAAGGAGGAGUGUGAACUUUGCACCCAGUGACUCACUGCAUCCCCCUAGGGCAAGUGCUCUCACCCGUGCAGAAUCCUGCCCUCCUUGCCACUGACGGGACCAUCCGCACUGGGUCAGCCUAUGAGCAACACUGACCUGAUUCACCUGCACGCCUUCAUUCCCCCACCUUCAUCCUCCUCCUCGCAGAGGUGAUCAGAUGUUUGCAGGUGCCUGCCUGUGUUUACAAAAUCCAUCCCAGGAAACCACAUGACAUUUGGUCAUCUGCCAUUGCAUUCCUUUACGUGUAUGAUCAAGUGGUUCCCUGAGGGCUUUGAUGAUCAGGGCAGAGGCAGAAGGCACCACCUCAAUCUGGGCCUGUCUGUUCUGAAUGGUCAGUUUCACUGUAAUCCUCAGGCCCUUCCGGUAACCCGUUGCCUUGGCAAUGUUAUCACCAACCUUUUUUGGAGACAGACCCAGGGGGCCGAUCUUGGGGGCCAGCGCAGAAGCAGCGACUUCACCUCCAGUGCACCUCAGCCUCACUGCCACCCUGCGUGGUGCGUGGGCCGGAAUGACCCUUCCCCUCUUGCAGUUUGGAGAAGUUGAGGACCCGUGUGAACCCUGAAAUCAUUCAUGCCCGGGCUCCCCGUUCGCCAGCCCAUGCUGCCCUCUAGUGGUUGUGUGCGCACCUGCCUUUAGGGAGUCCAGGACAGCCGGGACAACCAGCUCAUCUGCAGACAGCAGUGGCCAGCCUUCCCAGGCUGCGCAGGGGACCCUAGGCAGGGACCGUCCCCCUCAGGACCCUUCCAGCACUGCAUGCCUUCACCAGCUCCUCUUCCUGUCUCGCAGCAUCUGGUUUAGAUGCAUAGAUAGAUGUAUUAUAUACGUAUAUUUUAAUUGUGCUAAAAUACAUGUAAAAUUUACCAUCGCAACUAACUGUACGGUUUCAUGGCAUUAAGUACCUUCACACUGUUGGGCAACCAUCACCACCAUACAUCUCCAGAACUAUUUUUUUUUUUAAGACAAAGUCUUACUGUGUCACCCAGGCUGGAAGCGCAGUGGUGCAAUCUUGGCUCACGACAACCUCUGCCUCCUGUGUUCAAGUGAUUCUCCCACGUCAGCCUCCCAAGUAGCUGGAACUACAGGUGCCCGCCACUCCACCUGGCUAAUAUUUUAUUUUAUUUUAUUUUUGAGACAGACUCUCUCUCUGUCGCCCAGGCUGGAGUGCAGUGGCGCGAUCUCGGCUCACUGCAAGCUCCGCCUCCUGGGUUCAGACCAUUCUCCUGCGUCAGCCUCCCGAGUAGCUGGGACUACAGGCGCCUGCCACCACACCCGGCUAAUUUUUUGUAUUUUUAGUGGAGACAGGGUUUCACCCUAUUAGCCAGGAUGGUCUCAAUCUCCUGACCUCGUGAUCCGCCCGCCUCGGCUUCCCAAAGAGCUGGGAUUACAGGCGUGAGCCACCGCGCCCGGCCCCUACCUGGCUAAUUUUUGUAUUUUUAGAGAGACAAGGUUUCACCAUGUUGGCCAGGCUGGUCUCGAACUCUGGCCAGCUUUUUUUUUUUUUUUUUUUUGACAGGGUCUCACUCUGUCACCCAGGCUGGAGUGCGACUUCGACCUCCCAGGCUCAGAUGACCCUCUUACCUUAACCCCUAGAGUAGCUGGAACUACAAGCGCAUGCCACCAUGCCUGGCUAAUUUUUUGUAGAGACAGGGUUUUGCCAUGUUGCCCAGGCUGGUCUUGAAUUCCUGGGCCCCAGCGAUUCGCCUGCCUUGACCUCCCAAAGUGCUGGGGUUACAGGCGUGAGCCACUGCGCCCAGCCUCCAGAACGCUAUUCUCCUUCCCAAACUGAAACUCUGCCCCCAUUAAACACUAAGCUCCUCAUUCCUAUUUCCCCCCAGUUCCUGGAAACCUCUGUUCUACAUUGUCUUUAUGAAUCUGACUAGAUACUCAUAUAAGUGGAAUCAUACAGUGUCUGUCCUUUUGUGUCUGCCUAUUUCACUGAGCACAAUGUUGUCAAGGUGUAUUCACAUUGUGGCAUGUGUCAGAAUGCCAUCCUUUUUUUUUGUUUGUUUUUUUGAGAUGGAGUCUCACUUUGUUGCCCAGGCUGGAGUGCAGUGGCACGAUCUCAGCUCAUCACAACCUCUGCCUCCUGGGUUCAAAUGAUUCUUCUUCCUCAGCCUCCCCAGUAGUUGGGACUACAGGUGUGUGCCACUAUGCCUGGCUAAUUUUUGUAUUUUUAGUAGAGACGGGGUUUUACCAUGUUGGCCAGGCUGAUCUUGAACUCCUGAUCUCGUGAUCCGCCUGCCUCAGCCUCCCAAAGUGCUGGGAUUACAGGUGUGAGCCACCACGUGUGGCCUUUUUUUUUUUUUUUUUAGACGGAGAUCUCGCUCUGUCACCCAGGCUGGAGUGUAAUGGCACGAUCUCGGCUCACUGCAACCUCCGCCUCCUGGGUUCAAGCGAUUCUCCUGCCACAGCCUCCUGAGUAGCUGGGAUUACAGGCGUGCACUACCACAGCUGGCUAAUGGCUAAUUUUUGUAUUUUUAGUACAGAUGGGAUUUCACCAUUUUGGCCAGGCUGGUCUCGAACUCCUGACCUCAAGUGAUCCACCUGCCUCAGCCUCCCAAAGUGCUGGGAUUACAGAUGUGAGCCACCGCACCCAGGCUGCCAUCCUUUUUAAGGUUGAAGAAUCUUCCAUUGUCUGGAGAGACCACAUCUUGUCAUCCGUUCUUCUGUUCAUGGACACUUGGUUCCUUCCCCCUUUUGGCUAUUGCUGGAGUGCAAUGCCGUGAUCUCGGCUAACCACAACCUCCGCCUCCCAGGUUCAAGCGAUUCUCCUGCCUCAGCCUCCCGAGUAGCUGGGAUUACAGGCAUGCGCCACCACACCUGGCUAAUUUUGUAUUUUUUGUAGAGACAGGGUUUCUCCACAUUGGUCAGGCUGGUCUCAAACUCCCAACCUCAGAUGAUCCGCCCUCCUUGGCCUUCCAAAGUGCUGGGUAUAUAGGCAUGAGCCACCACGUCUGGCCUAAGAAGGUUAAAGUCAAAAGCAACACCACUCAGCAGCUGUCCUGAACACGCAUCUCAGGGCCACCCACACAAAUGAGAAUGUCUCCUGCAGCUGCUGCUGCGUCGCCCCCAAUCACAGCUGUAGAUAUAAAGGGAUCGAGUCACUGAACCAUACAAUCACCCCGCUUUCUGACAGCACACAUCCAGAGCAAACCCACACUUCCUUAAAUCUUUCUCCAAAUCCGAUACCAGCACUAACACUGCUUUUGGAGAUGCCCUGGCUUCCCCGUGCUGUGUGGCCUCCCUUGCCACAGCAAGCAUAAUAAACCCAAAUUUGUUGACUGCAGGCGUGUUCCUGGUGGUCUGAUUGACAGGCAUCAACGUGACCAUGGAGGGAGUGACGGCUAGAGAAUUUCAGGGUUCACAAGAUGAAGCCAGUGACUCAUGAACUAAGCUGAAAUCUCUCAGCCUAAUACUUCCCUUUCUCUCACAGCAACUCUCCAUGAUAGAUUAGAACUGUUCCAACUUGGCUGGGCAUGGUGACUCACGCCUGUAAUCCCAGCUAUUUGGGAGGCCAAGGUGGGAGGAUUGCUUGAGCCCAGGAGUUUGAGACCAGCCUGAGCAACAUAGUGGGACUCCAUCUCUAUUUAUUUAUUUAUUUAUUUUGAGAUGGAGUUUUGCUCUUGUUGCCCAGGCUAGAGUGCAAUGGCGCGAUCUCAGCUCACUGCAACCUCCACCUCCCAAGUACAAGGGAUUCUCCUGUCCCAGCCUAUCAAGUAGCUCAUAUUACAGGCAUGUGCCACCAGGCCCGGCUAACUUUUUUGUAUUUAGUAGAGAUGGGGUUUCAUCAUGUUAGUCAGGCUGGUCACGAACUCCUGACCUCAGGCUAUCUACCCGCCUUGGCCUCCCAAAGUGCUGGGAUUACAGGCAUGUGCCACCGUGCCUGGCCUCUUUUUUUUUUUUUUUUGAGACGGAGUCUCGCUCUGUCACCAGGCUGGAAUGCUAUGGCGCAAUCUCGGCUCACUGCAACCUCCGCCUCUCAGGUUUAAGCAAUUCUCUUGCCUCAGCCUCCUGAGUACCUGGGAUUACAGGUGCGCACCAACACACCCAGCUAAUUUUUUUGUAUUUUUAAUAGAGUCGGGGUUUCACCAUGUUGGCCAGGAUGGUCUUGAUCUCUUGACCUCGUGAUCUGCCUGCCUUGGCCUCCCAAAGUGUUAAAAUUACAGGCAUGAGCCACCAC